AACAAGCAUGACAAAAACCGAAUCAACAAAACAGAUGAGCGUUCGGUUGCAAACAUGAUAAAUCUAGCAAAAGUCCUUUCAGCUGAAUUGAAACCAGUCAUCUUCAAACAUUUAAAGCUUGCCCUUUUCUUUAGCUACUUGAUGAAUAAUGGAGAAGAAGUAAGAGACCAAGCUUGAGGUGAACUAUCAAAUUGAAGAACUACAAGUAAUCCCCCCAGAAACAAAACCCACGUUUAUCCCAAGCUUGAGCUCCAUUUAUAGAAACUAUGUCCAGCUGAAUUAAACACGAAUCUAACUAAAACUCUAAAAUUUGGAAACUUGUAAGCAGAACCCUAGAAUUGGAAACUAAGUAAGUGAAUAAAGAGGAAUCUCUAAAAUCGG